GUCAUUUCCCCUCUCUUUAAUCUAUAUAAAAAUAUAUUAGAUACAUUGGAUGAUACAAUUGGAUGAUUCAACUUGAAUGAUUGAGCAUUGGAUGCUAGAUGGGUAGGGUAGGAGUGUUGGCUAGCAAUAAUCUAUCAAUAAUUCAACUAAUAAUACACUAAUAAACCAAAAGGGCAUUUUGGUAAUUUCGCAUAAAAUUUCAAGGGCAUUUUGUACAUAGCAAUUAAAUGUAGUAUUUAAUCACUAGAGGGUAAUU
rnacentral:lncRNA from 1 species